AGGGAUCAUUAUUAGAAGCCGAAAGGCUACUUAAAACCAUCGCGAACUCGUCCAAGUUGCUUCGGCGGCGCGGCCUCCCUCACGGGGGCGCCGCAGCCCCGCCUCUCCGGAGGUGUGGGGCGCCCGCCGGAGGUACGAAACUCUGUAUUAUAGUGGCAUCUCUGAGUAAAAAACAAAUAAGUUAAAACUUUCAACAACGGAUCUCUUGGUUCUGGCAUCGAUGAAGAACGCAGCGAAAUGCGAUAAGUAAUGUGAAUUGCAGAAUUCAGUGAAUCAUCGAAUCUUUGAACGCACAUUGCGCCCGCUAGUACUCUAGCGGGCAUGCCUGUUCGAGCGUCAUUUCAACCCUCAAGCCCUGCUUGGUGUUGGGGCCCUACGGCUGCCGUAGGCCCUGAAAGGAAGUGGCGGGCUCGCUACAACUCCGAGCGUAGUAAUUCAUUAUCUCGCUAGGGACGUUGCGGCGCGCUCCUGCCGUUAAAGACCAUCUUUAACUCAAGGUUGACCUCGGAUCAGGUAGGAAUACCCGCUGAACUUAA
rnacentral:rRNA from 1 species